CCUCAGGUGCUAGUGGGACUGGAAAGUACUUCAUCAUCUUCAUGUGAAAAGAGUACAGCAUCCUGCUUCUUUCCAAAUACAAAAUAAAUUGUGUAUAGUAUGAGUUUCAUCAGCAGUCAUUGAAGUCAAUGAGAAUCUUUCCAUAGUCUUCACUGGGCUUUGGAUCCGACCCCCCGUUGAAUUACGGAUUACCCUGAGGAGCUUUUUCAGAUGCUCCUACCCUCCCCACCUUCAUCACUCUUCUAAAGUGAUUAAUUAAAGACAACAAAUCCCUCCAGUCAUUUCUAAUCCCGUGAACCAUCAACCAGCCAUGCUUUGAGGGGAAGAACUCUGAGAUUGGGGUGAAGGAUCUUCCCACCUUCCGAAGAGAGAUGAGGAGCAGUCUGAAGAGCGACUGGAGGAGGAGUGGGGACCCAGAGAGACAAAAGAUUCCUGCCUUGUGCCAGAGCUAUAAAGGGGGUGGAGCAGAACAAAGGAGGCUGCCAGUCAUGAGAAAUCCCCUACUUACCACCUGAACUGGAACUAACAAGAACUGUACCAGGGAAAGGAUUGGACCCAGACUAGGAAGGAGUAUAGUCUGUGAAAGAAGCUUAUUUGGAACAUCUCUGAGGGUGACUUUCAGAAAACUGGAACAAAUAGUGGAUAUGUACUACAGUAACUCCCCCUGCUGACCAACCAUGAUAUUGAAGAAAGCAUAAGGGGCACUUCCAUCUCAUGAUAUAAACAGAAAACUGGCUAAAAUUUUGAGAAAGUAACAAUUUACCUGCUACCUGAUUUAUCAGUCCAGUUUGAGACCCAAUUACAAGCAUAUGGGAUCCUGAUUGACUCAGAGCAAAUCAAGACAUUCUGAUUCACUUUGUUUGUUAAAAAAAAGUAAUUAAGUGGACAUGUAUAGUUUGCCCCGCAACUUUUCACUAUGAUAUUCUUCCAAAGAAGACCCAUUAAAACUCAUAAUGGACUCUGGAAUCUUAUUAAUUUACUGCUGGUAAAUACUGUCAAUUGCGGUUUGAAAGGUCAUAUUGAAUUCUAGAGAUAAAGGUGUUAUUAAGCUUGAGAAAUCAUUUAUAUUGGAACCCAGACUAUGGUACAUAGAUAAUUAAGAUGGGUGCCAAUUUUCCUUAUUAUAAAACUUUAACCAAGAUGUGUCAAAUUCAGGCCUGGUCUAAGGAACAACUGCCAUGGAAGGGUCUAAUUCAGCAAUGUAACUUUCAUCCAGAGAUUCAGUUUGUAGAAACACAUUUAAGGAGAGCUUAUUAAGCUUAUUCAAGACUUAGAACACACCUUGAAAGUUACAUCUCACAGACCACUUUACCUUCCCCCUCCCAUUUAUCAGUGGGAAAACUACCUCCUUUCUUGUAAUGAUCAAACAACCUGUGCUACCCACAGCAAUUGUUUAUAUGGAAAAUCAGUAUUAUAAAAUUUUUAAUGUGGAUACUUGUAAUGCGAUUUGACAUCUUGGGAGGGAAAAAAAGCAGAGCUAGCAUCAUAUGACUAGCCUGAUGUCCAUGAUCAUGGACAUUGACAGUUUGGGAACUCUGGCUUUAAAGGCAAAUUGUAACCAAAUGCUUAUUUCUGUUAAGAAAACAAGACAAUUUUUAAUUUGUUUUUACAGACAUACAAUAAAUAUGAAAUAUACAAGACAAAAAUUUCACACCAAUUGAUGGUAUUACAUAAGCAGUUCAUUAGAAUACAUGAUUUUUUUCUUUUUCAUUAGCCCUUUUAUAAGGUUUGGUAC